rnacentral:rRNA from 1 species
UACAGAGGUCCCAAGCGUUGUUCGGAUUCACUGGGCGUAAAGGGUGCGUAGGUGGUGAGGUAAGUCGGAUGUGAAAUCUCCGGGCUCAACCCGGAAAUGGCAUUGGAAACUACCUUGCUCGAGGGUUGGAGGGGGGACUGGAAUGCUUGGUGUAGCAGUGAAAUGCGUAGAUAUCAAGCGGAACACCAGUGGCGAAGGCGAGUCCCUGGACAACUCCUGACACUGAGGCACGAAAGCUAGGGGAGCAAACAGG